rnacentral:rRNA from 1 species
GUUGUAUAGUUAAGUGACUAAGCGCACAAGGUGGAUGCCUUGGCAAUCAGAGGCGAAGAAGGACGUGCCAAUCUGCGAAAAGCUUGGAUGAGUCGAUAAGAGGCGUUUAAUCCAAGAUGUCCGAAUGGGGAAACCCAGUAGGUGAAGAACCUACUAUCACCCAGUGAAUACAUAGCUGUGUGAGGCAAACCGGGAGAACUGAAACAUCUAAGUACCCCGAGGAAAAGAAAUCAACCGAGAUUUCGUUAGUAGCGGCGAGCGAACGCGAAAGAGCCAGUUAGUGAUAGCAGUAAAGUUAGGGGAAUGUUCUGGGAAGGACAAUCGUAGAGGGUGAUAAUCCCGUACCUUAAAACUCCAUUGUGGUACUAGGCUAACAACAAGUAGGGCGGGACACGUGAUAUCCUGUUUGAAGAUGGGGGGACCAUCCUCCAAGGCUAAAUACUCCUGAUUGACCGAUAGUGAACCAGUACUGUGAAGGAAAGGUGAAAAGAACCCCGGCGAGGGGAGUGAAAUAGAACCUGAAACCUUGUGCGUACAAGCAGUGGGAGCAAGAGUAAUCUUGUGACUGCGUACCUUUUGUAUAAUGGGUCAGCGACUUAUAUUUUGUAGCAAGGUUAACUGAAUAAGGGAGCCGUAGGGAAACCGAGUCUUAACUGGGCGUGUAGUUGCAAGGUAUAGACCCGAAACCCGGUGAUCUAGCCAUGGGCAGGUUGAAGGUUGGGUAACACUAACUGGAGGACCGAACCGACUAAUGUUGAAAAAUUAGCGGAUGACUUGUGGCUGGGGGUGAAAGGCCAAUCAAACCGGGAGAUAGCUGGUUCUCCCCGAAAUCUAUUUAGGUAGAGCCUUGAGCGGACACCUUCGGGGGUAGAGCACUGUUUCGGCUAGGGGUCCAUCCCGGAUUACCAACCCGAUGCAAACUGCGAAUACCGAAGAGUGAUACUCAGGAGACACACGGUGGGUGCUAACGUCCAUCGUGGAGAGGGAAACAACCCAGACCGCCAGCUAAGGUCCCAAAGUCUAUAUUAAGUGGGAAACGAAGUGGGAAGGCUUAGACAGCUAGGAUGUUGGCUUAGAAGCAGCCACCAUUUAAAGAAAGCGUAAUAGCUCACUAGUCGAGUCGGCCUGCGCGGAAGAUGUAACGGGGCUCAAAUAUAGCACCGAAGCUGCGGCAUCAGACGAAAGUCUGUUGGGUAGGGGAGCGUUGUGUAAGUCGAUGAAGGUGGAUUGAGAAGUCUGCUGGAGAUAUCACAAGUGCGAAUGCUGACAUAAGUAACGAUAAAACGAGUGAAAAACUCGUUCGCCGGAAGACCAAGGGUUCCUGUCCAACGUUAAUCGGGGCAGGGUGAGUCGGCCCCUAAGGCGAGGCUGAAAAGCGUAGUCGAUGGGAAACGGGUUAAUAUUCCCGUACUUGUAAUAACUGCGAUGUGGGGACGGAGAAGGUUAGGUUAGCAGACUGUUGGAUGUCUGUUUAAGCCGGUAGGUGGGAAGAUUAGGCAAAUCCGGUCUUCCUUAACACCGAGAAGUGAUGACGAGUCUCUACGGAGAUGAAGUAAUCGAUACCACGCUUCCAGGAAAAGCCACUAAGCUUCAGGUUAUUAUAAACCGUACUAUAAACCGACACAGGUGGUCAGGUAGAGAAUACUCAGGCGCUUGAGAGAACUCGGGUGAAGGAACUAGGCAAAAUAGCACCGUAACUUCGGGAGAAGGUGCGCCGGCGUAGAUUGUAGUCCCUUGCGGAUGAAGGUUGAACCGGUCGAAGAUACCAGCUGGCUGCAACUGUUUAUUAAAAACACAGCACUCUGCAAACACGAAAGUGGACGUAUAGGGUGUGAUGCCUGCCCGGUGCUGGAAGGUUAAUUGAUGGUGUUAUCGCAAGAGAAGCUCCUGAUCGAAGCCCCAGUAAACGGCGGCCGUAACUAUAACGGUCCUAAGGUAGCGAAAUUCCUUGUCGGGUAAGUUCCGACCUGCACGAAUGGCAUAAUGAUGGCCAGGCUGUCUCCACCCGAGACUCAGUGAAAUUGAAAUCGCCGUGAAGAUGCGGUGUACCCGCGGCUAGACGGAAAGACCCCGUGAACCUUUACUAUAGCUUGACACUGAACAUUGAAUUUUGAUGUGUAGGAUAGGUGGGAGCCUUUGAAGCAGUCACGCCAGUGAUUGUGGAGGCGUCCUUGAAAUACCACCCUUUAACGUUUGAUGUUCUAACGAAGAUUGCGGAACGCGGUCUCGGACAGUGUCUGGUGGGUAGUUUGACUGGGGCGGUCUCCUCCCAAAGAGUAACGGAGGAGCACGAAGGUUUGCUAAUCACGGUCGGACAUCGUGAGGUUAGUGCAAUGGUAUAAGCAAGCUUAACUGCGAGACAGACAAGUCGAGCAGGUGCGAAAGCAGGUCAUAGUGAUCCGGUGGUUCUGAAUGGAAGGGCCAUCGCUCAACGGAUAAAAGGUACUCCGGGGAUAACAGGCUGAUACCGCCCAAGAGUUCAUAUCGACGGCGGUGUUUGGCACCUCGAUGUCGGCUCAUCACAUCCUGGGGCUGAAGUAGGUCCCAAGGGUAUGGCUGUUCGCCAUUUAAAGUGGUACGCGAGCUGGGUUUAGAACGUCGUGAGACAGUUCGGUCCCUAUCUGCCGUGGGCGUUGGAGAAUUGAGAGGGGCUGCUCCUAGUACGAGAGGACCGGAGUGGACGCAUCACUGGUGUUCCAGUUGUCUCGCCAGAGGCAUUGCUGGGUAGCUACAUGCGGAAGAGAUAAGUGCUGAAAGCAUCUAAGCACGAAACUUGCCUCGAGAUGAGUUCUCCCACACUAAAGUGUUGUAAGGUUGUUCGACACUACAACGUAGAUAGGCUGGGUGUGUGGAGACUACGACGUAGAUAGGCUGGGUGUGUAAGUGUUGUGAGACAUUGAGCUAACCAGUACUAAUUGCCCGAGAGGCUUAACUAUACAACGCUCAA